GGACUACACGGGUUUCUAAUCCCGUUUGCUCCCCUAGCCUUCGCGCCUCAGCGUCAGGAUUUGUCCAGAGAUCCGCCUUCGCCACUGGUCUUCCUCACGAUAUCUACGCAUUUCACUGCUACACCGUGAAUUCCGAUCUCCUCUCCAACCCUCAAGCAGAGCAGUAUCCAGUGCAAUUUCGGAGUUGAGCUCCGAGAUUUCACACCAGACUUACCCCGCCGCCUACGCGCCCUUUACGCCCAAUGAAUCCGAACAACGCUUGAGACCUCUGUAUUACCGCGGCGGCUGGCAC
rnacentral:rRNA from 2 species